rnacentral:rRNA from 1 species
UAUAAGACGAGAAGACCCCAUGGAGCUUCAAACCAGCUUCAACCCUACCCCCCCCACACCCUUUCAACCCCGGGGCCCUGUGUAUCUGGUUUUCGGUUGGGGCGACCACGGAGCAUAAAAAAACCUCCAUGAUGAACGAGCCUACCCUCUUACCUGAGAAUUACACCUCAAAGAACUAGUAUACUAACAUAAAAUGAUCCAAUAAUUGAUCAACGAACCAAGUUACCCUGGGGAUAACAGCGCAAUCCAUUUCAAGAGCUCCUAU